rnacentral:lncRNA from 1 species
AAAUCCAAUAGAAAUCUAUAAAAAUUUACAAAAGAAAUAUGAAGAAAUCCUAAAAAAAAUUAAACAAAUCUUAAAUAAAUUCUAAUCAGAUCCUAUUUUAAUCCUAACUGAAAUCCUAAUAGAUCUUAAUUAAACCUUAGGUCAAAUCCUAACUAAAUCCUAAAUCCUAAAUCAAAUCUUAGAUAAAUUUUAUGCCUAAAUCCUAAACCAAAUCUUAUACAAAUCCUAAGCUCUAAAAAAAUCCUAAAUCCUAAAUCGAAUUGUAAAAAAAUACUAAGCC